rnacentral:rRNA from 1 species
UACGUAGGGGGCAAGCGUUAUCCGGAUUUACUGGGCGUAAAGCGCGUGUAGGCGGUUGCGCAAGUUGUGUGUGAAAUCUCCCGGCUCAACCGGGAAACUGCACGCAAUACUGCGUGGCUAGAGUGGCAGAGAGGAAAGUGGAAUUCCCGGUGUAGUAGUGAAAUGCGCAGAUAUCAGGAGGAACACCAAUGGCGAAGGCAGCUCGCUGGGACGGUACUGACGCUGAGACGCGAAAGCGUGGGGAGCAAACAGG